rnacentral:rRNA from 1 species
GACGAACGCUGGCGGCGUGCUUAACACAUGCAAGUCGAACGGAAAGGCCCUGCUUUUGUGGGGUGCUCGAGUGGCGAACGGGUGAGUAACACGUGAGUAACCUGCCCUUGACUUUGGGAUAACUUCAGGAAACUGGGGCUAAUACCGGAUAGGAGCUCCUGCUGCAUGGUGGGGGUUGGAAAGUUUCGGCGGUUGGGGAUGGACUCGCGGCUUAUCAGCUUGUUGGUGGGGUAGUGGCUUACCAAGGCUUUGACGGGUAGCCGGCCUGAGAGGGUGACCGGCCACAUUGGGACUGAGGUACGGCCCAGACUCCUACGGGAGGCAGCAGUGGGGAAUAUUGCACAAUGGGCGGAAGCCUGAUGCAGCAACGCCGCGUGCGGGAUGACGGCCUUCGGGUUGUAAACCGCUUUCGCCUGUGACGAAGCGUGAGUGACGGUAACGGGUAAAGAAGCACCGGCUAACUACGUG